AGCGAACGCUGGCGGCAGGCCUAACACAUGCAAGUCGAACGAACCUUUCGGGGUUAGUGGCGGACGGGUGAGUAACACGUGGGAACGUGCCUUUAGGUUCGGAAUAACUCAGGGAAACUUGUGCUAAUACCGAAUGUGCCCUUCGGGGGAAAGAUUUAUCGCCUUUAGAGCGGCCCGCGUCUGAUUGGCUAGUUGGUUGAGGUAAUGGCUCACCAAGGCGACGAUCAGUAGCUGGUCUGAGAGGAUGAUCAGCCACAUUGGGACUGAGACACGGCCCAAACUCCUACGGGAGGCAGCAGUGGGGAAUCUUGCGCAAUGGGCGAAAGCCUGACGCAGCCAUGCCGCGUGAAUGAUGAAGGUCUUAGGAUUGUAAAAUUCUUUCACCGGGGACGAUAAUGACGGUACCCGGAGAAGAAGCCCCGGCUAACUUCGU
rnacentral:rRNA from 1 species